CCUACGGGAGGCAGCAGUGAGGGAUAUUGGUCAAUGGACGAGAGUCUGAACCAGCCAAGUAGCGUGAAGGAUGACUGCCCUAUGGGUUGUAAACUUCUUUUAUAAAGGAAUAAAACGAGGCACGUGUGCCUUUUUGCAUGUACUUUAUGAAUAAGGAUCGGCUAACUCCGUGCCAGCAGCCGCGGUAAUACGGAGGAUACGAGCGUUAUCCGGAGUUAUUGGGGUAAAAGGGAGCGUAGAUGGGUUGUUAAGUCAGUUGGGAAAGUUUGCGGCUAAAACGUAAAAUUGCAAUUGAUACUGGCAGUCGUGAGUACAGUGGAGGUAGGCGGAAUUCGUGGUGUAGCGGUGAAAUGCUUAGAU
rnacentral:rRNA from 1 species